CCUAGGGCAGCAAGGCCAGGGCAGGGGAUGCGUUGAUGCCGCUGAUCUGCCCUUUCGUGUUCGUCGGCUGCAUCCGAAGUGUCUGUCUCUCCUAUGAGGAAUCUGAGGGCAAAGAGAAUAACUUGGUGUCCCAUCACACUCUGGGAGUCGGAAGACAGUACUAACACCAUGUGUUCUGGCUGCUUUUCUCUUUCCACUCAGCUUCGUGUUUUCUCCCUACCGGAAAUCUGAUGGGCUUAUGACAUCAUGGCUGGCUGCUGAGCGAUGGAGUGGAUGCCACAAAGAAAUCCGACAUAUCCGAUGGAUUCAGAAAUCACUUUCCCUCCUGCGGCUGGAGGAACAGGCAUGUGCAGGCAGGAGAACCUGAGCUUUGUUUGAAAAAUUAUUAAAAAAAAAAAAAAACACAAAAAAAAAAACGAAACAAAAAGCAACCAAACCAAGUCUUGCCUGGCAUUAAAGCACACACAAAAAAACGAAACAAAAAGCAACCAAACCAAGUCUUGCCUGGCAUUAAAGGCAAUUUUCUUAAAGACAAGCAAAAGGUUUGGCCAUCGUCCUCUUUUAAUAAAAAUGCUGGGUUUCAUGAGACAAAGUGGCUAAUAAAUUCGGCCCACAGCCUCCUGUGAG
rnacentral:lncRNA from 1 species